UUAUUUACAGUGCUGCUCCUGAAAUCUUACACUUUCAGUAAGUUUUCUUCUUUUUUCUCUGACUCCUUAUAGGAACUAUCCUUGUCUCAGCUGAUGGUAGUCUGAAGUUGAAUAGACAGUGUUAUGUGUCUUGAGGAGGAAGUCCCACACCAGAUGUCGGCACCUUGCUAUUAGCUUUCCCAGCCUCCAGAUCUGUGAGAAAUACAUUUUUUUCUUUAUAAAUUAGCUAGUCUGUGGUUUUCUGUUAUAGCA
rnacentral:lncRNA from 13 species